rnacentral:lncRNA from 1 species
GGUUUCAUUUUUUCUCACUUUAGUAUCUUGUGGUUUAAAGCGUAUCAAGUUAGUACCCUGAGGUUUCGCACUUUCUCACUUUAAUACCUUGUGGUUUAAGGUAUAUCAAGCUAGUACCAUGUGGUUUCACACUUUCUCACUUUAGUACCCUGUGGUUUAAUAUUUUAUUAAGAAAAAAAUAAAACCACAGGGUACUAACUUGAUACAAAAAUAAAACAACAGAGUACUAAUUUAAUACAAAAAUAAAACUAUAGAGUACUAACUUGAUACACUUUAAACCAUAGGGUACUAAAGUGAGAAAGUGCGAAACCACAGGGUACUAACUUGAUACAGUUUAAACCACAUGGUACUAAAAUGAAAAAGUACGAACCACAUGAAAAUUUUUUAAAGUUUUCUCUAAUAAUAAUAACAAAGGAUAAAAGAUAAAUGUUGGGAUACUGAUACAGCGAAUUAAGCUAGAAUACUUUUAGAAGCACCAACUCUUUGGUGCUUUUAGGUUUUAGCCCUUGGAUCUACUCCUUUAUUAUUAGUAGCAUUUGGAUCAAACACUAUUUUACCUACCAUUACUUAUCAUCAUCAUCUUAACUCUACAUCUUUCUAUCUAAUGGCUAAAAAUUCAAAAACACUAUUUUUUUGAUGCUUCUGAGAGUAUUCUAGCUCAACUCCUGAUACGGCAACCUUUUUUC